CUCAACCCCGAGCCUGCAGUCGAUACGGGCAGACUAGAGUGCUGUAGGGGAGACUGGAAUUCCUGGUGUAGCGGUGAAAUGCGCAGAUAUCAGGAGGAACACCGGUGGCGAAGGCGGGUCUCUGGGCAGUAACUGACGCUGAGGAGCGAAAGCGUGGGGAGCGAACAGGAUUAGAUACCCUGGGUAGUCCACGCCGUAAACGGUGGGUGCUAGGUGUGAGCGGUAUUCCACGCCGUUCGUGCCGCAGCUAACGCAUUAAGCACCCCGCCUGGGGAGUACGGCCGCAAGGCUAAAACUCAAAGGAAUUGACGGGGGCCCGCACAAGCAGCGGAGCAUGUGGCUUAAUUCGACGCAACGCGAAGAACCUUACCAAGGCUUGACAUGCAGGGAAAUCCUCCAGAGAUGGGGGGUCCGCAAGGGUCCUGCACAGGUGGUGCAUGGUUGUCGUCAGCUCGUGUCGUGAGAUGUUGGGUUAAGUCCCGCAACGAGCGCAACCCUCGUUCUAUGUUGCCAGCGCGUGAUGGCGGGGACUCAUAGGAGACUGCCGGGGUCAACUCGGAGGAAGGUGGGGAUGACGUCAAAUCAUCAUGCCCCUUAUGUCUUGGGCUGCACACAUGCUACAAUGGCCGGUACAAAGGGCUGCUAAACCGCGAGGUGGAGCGAAUCCCACAAAGCCGGUCUCAGUUCGGAU
rnacentral:rRNA from 1 species